GACGUACCACCCAAACGUUAUUCGGAAUUACUGGGCUUAAAGAGUUCGUAGGCGGCUGAGAAAGUUGGGUGUGAAAUCCCUGAGCUCAACUCAGGAAUUGCGCUCAAAACUACUCAGCUUGAGGAAGGCAGAGGUGAGCGGAACUGAUGGUGGAGCGGUGAAAUGCGUUGAUAUCAUCAGGAACACCCGUGGCGAAAGCGGCUCACUGGGUCUUUUCUGACGCUGAGGAACGAAAGCUAGGGGAGCGAACGGG
rnacentral:rRNA from 1 species